GAUUCUUUUUUAUAUAGUUUAAAGAAAACACUACAUUUUCACUGUAAAAUUAAAUUAUUUCUAUUUUAUAA
rnacentral:tRNA from 1 species